rnacentral:rRNA from 1 species
ACGCUCGACACCUACGGGAAGCAGCAGGUCGGGAAUAUUGCGCAAUGGAGGAAACUCUGACGCAGUGACGCCGCGUGCAGGAAGAAGGUUUUCGGAUUGUAAACUGCUUUAGACAGGGAAGAGGAAGGACAGUACCUGUAGAAUAAGCUCCGGCUAACUACGUGCCACAGCCGCGGUAAUCUGAGCGGGCUGGCAAGGC